CUGACUGCUAUCGGAUGAUACUAAGCCAUGCGAGUCUUUGUAGUAAUACAAGGCAGACGGCUCAGUAACACGUAGUCAACCUACCCUAUGGACGAGAAUAAUCUCGGGAAACUGAGCAUAAUUCUUGAUAGAUCAUAAUGCCUGGAAUGGUUUAUGGUUAAAAUGAUUCGUCGCCAUAGGAUGGGACUGCGGCCUAUCAGCUUGUUGGUGAGGUAAUGGCCCACCAAGGCGAUUACAGGUACGGGCUCUGAGAGGAGAAGCCCGGAGAUGGGUACUGAGACACGGACCCAGGCCCUAUGGGGCGCAGCAGGCGAGAAAACUUUGCAAUGUGCGAAAGCACGACAAGGUUAAUCCGAGUGAUUUCUGCUAAAGAAAUCUUUUGCUAGUCGUAAAACCACUGGUGAAUAAGGGGUGGGCAAGUUCUGGUGUCAGCCGCCGCGGUAAAACCAGCACCUCAAGUGGUCAGGAUGAUUAUUGGGCCUAAAGCAUCCGUAGCCGGCUUUGUUAGUUUUCGGUUAAAUCCAUGUGCUCAACGCAUGGGCUGCCGAAAAUACUGCAUAGCUAGGGAGUGGGAGAGGUAGACGGUACUCAGUAGGAAGGGGUAAAAUCCUUUGAUCUAUUGAUGACCACCUGUGGCGAAGGCGGUCUACCAGAACACGUUCGACGGUGAGGGAUGAAAGCUGGGGGAGCAAACCGGAUUAGAUACCCGGGUAGUCCCAGCUGUAAACGAUGCAGACUCGAUGAUGCAUUGGCAUAAUAGCCAGUGCAGUGUCGCAGGGAAGCCGUUAAGUCUGCCGCCUGGGAAGUACGUACGCAAGUAUGAAACUUAAAGGAUUGGCGGGGAGCACCACAAGGGUGAGCCUGCGGUUCA
rnacentral:rRNA from 1 species